AUCUUGUGCAGUCUUCAUAGAAGGCUCAAGAUAAUGAAAGGAUGACGUGGAAAGAGGCAUCCCACAGUCAGACAGGCUGGGACCCAAAAGCAGAUGAGACAAUGUUGGAGAGAGCUGAGCUGCUCCUCUGCUAUGCUGCCCUGCUGCGAAGCCAGCCAACUGUAGACUAAAACCUCUAUAAACCAGUUCUGCCAUGAAUCCAUCAAGACCUAGGCUUUUCUUUGUUGGUGCCUGCAGAGGACACAAGAAGAGGAACAAGUUAAGCAGCACCAAAGUCCUGGAGGGAACUCAAACUUGGAGAUGCCUGCAGGAUGGCAGGAGGGGGUGAGACUCCAUGAACUGAGGACUUUUGUUCCACUGCAUUGUUCCACUAUGAUGUUUCUGCCUUGGACCCCGUUGACCAUGGACUGAAUGCCCUGAAACUAGUGAGGAGAGCAAAUCACAACUCUUGGGAGAUUAUUGGAACCUCUGGAUCCAGAUGUGCCCCAAACCUGACACAUUCCUGGAUGCUCCUGACUUGUGAUUGAAUAGCUCUGGGGUUCUUUUUCCCAACCUAUUAAAUUCCAUUUCCAUCACUGUAA